AUGCUAAAAAUUAUCUUCCCAUCACUAAUACUCCUUCCACUAACUUGGCUAUCAAAAAAUGUAAAAAUCUGAGCUAAUAUAACCUCAUAUAGCAUUCUGGUAAGCCUUAUUAGCCUAUCAUUAUUAUGACAAAAAGAUAAACAUAACUUAAACUUUUCAAUUAUAUUCUCCUCAGACCCCUUAUCCACCCCACUAAUCAUUCCAGCCUCCCACUAAUCAUUCUUACAACUUGACUUUUACUCCUAAUAUUAUUAGCCAGUCAAAAAUCACAUAAAGGAAAAUAAUUAUAUAUCAAAACUCUAUAUUUCUCUAUUAGUUAGCCUCCAAAUUUUGCUUAUCAUUUUCUGCAACCAAAUGAAUUAUAUUUUAUAUUUUAUUUGAAGCCACCCUUAUUCCAA
rnacentral:lncRNA from 1 species